AUAGGAAGCAUUCAUUAUCCCUAGGGUCAUGGGAUGAAUAAAAUAUCAUGUAAAACCAAAUUAACACAUCCUACAAAACCAAGUUAACGCAUCCUAGAAUGGUUCUAGAAUGCUUACUAACACAUGGCUUUGAUACCAAUUGAUGGGAAAAUCCC
rnacentral:pre_miRNA from 1 species